AUGCUCUCAAAAUUUUAAUUCCUUUAGUUUAGCCUAACCCCAUGCAUCCUAUACACACGGCGCACACUCUCGCACUCCAUACAUUUAGCUAAUAAAUUACGUUAUAAACAAAAAAGCAAAAUAAAAAGAUAAAUUACGUCAUCACUAGCUAUCCUAUAACCCACUUAGACUGAGUUUUGGAUUCUGGUUCGAAACGUAAAAUCUUAACUGAAAGGGCAUGGGCUUGAGUUUUGUUAACUGGUCCGAAGUAAAUAUACAAACCUUAAACUUACCUAAACCAAAGGCUCGAUUAGAUAAGCAUGA
rnacentral:lncRNA from 1 species